GCCUCUGCAUUCUUCCUCCAGACUCUGGGCCCUUGCUUUACAAAUGAGAUGUAAAAGUUGCUCUCAUCAGAAAAGAGGACUUUGGACCACUGAGCCACAGACCAGGUCUGUUUCUCUUUAGCCCAGGUAAGACGCUUCUGACGUUGUUUGUUGUUCAGGAGCAGCUUGACAAGAGGAAUACGACAUCUGAAGCCCAUGUCCAGGAUCCGUCUGUUUGUGGUGGCUCUUGAUGCACUGACUCCAGCCUCAGUCCACUCCUUGUGAAAGUCCCCAACACUUUUGAAUGGCCUUUUCCUGACAAUCCUCUCCAGGCUGCGGUCAUCCCUGCUGCUUGUGCACCUUUUUCUUCCACACUUUUCCCUUCCACAUAACUUUCUAUUAAUGUGCUUUGAUACAGCAUUUUGGGAACAUCCACCUUCCUUCGCAAUUACCUUUUGAGGCUUUCUCUCCUUAUGGAGGGUGUCAGUGAUGGUUUUCUGCACAACUGUCAGGUCAACAGUCUUCCC